rnacentral:misc_RNA from 1 species
AACGCAAAUUGCGCCUGAGGCUUGCCGAAGGCAUGCCUGUCUCAGCGUCUUCCUCACCCUCCACUCCUCCUCCUGGGGCAGCGAGUGGGACCUGGCAGUCUCAGCUUCUGCAGAGAAGCUGGGUCCGCCGAAGACCAGAGGCCCGAGCAGGACCCAUGCCGUUGGGCAACAGUCCGGUAGGCGACUCGUCGCAUGCCGCUGGUGCCCCGGGCCUGCUGCAGGGGCCGCAGGAAGUGAAGGCCCUUCACACCCUCUCUCAUGGACCUGAGAUCAGGCAAGAGCACCCGCUGAACUUAA